rnacentral:lncRNA from 1 species
GAAACUGUUCUAUUUUCAGUGGAGUCUUCAAUUUAUUUUUCUCUUCUUUAGGGAAAUCAUCGCUAUCGGUGACGAAUAGGCUGCUGUUAUGUGUUACUUCCACUUGCAUACAUCCAUCGCGUUUCAAGUCCUGGCGUCCAAAGGACAAUUUCAGGCCAUGGGAUAACAAAGCAUCUUCCAGGAAGCGGCGGGCUUGUAAGGAGAAGCUACGCCUGUCCUCGGUGAUGAACCCGACGGGCUUUAUGGAACACACGCAGCUGGGUCUGCGAAGCAUUUCUGAAACCUAAGUCAGAUUGUGACCUGGGGCCAUGGAGCCUACGGGUAUCACUCUUCACCACGGACCAAGAAUAUUGUCUAGAUGUUCAGUCUUGGCUCUGUGGCUCCCAGGAUGGGGCUCUGGAAGCAACCAGGUGUCAUCGUCUGAGACGGCGAUGACUUUUUCUGGAU